GACGAACGCUGGCGGCGUGCUUAACGCAUGCAAGUCGAACGGAAAGGCCCUGCUUUUGUGGGGUGCUCGAGUGGCGAACGGGUGAGUAACACGUGAGUAACCUGCCCUUGACUUUGGGAGAACUUCAGGAAACUGGGGCUAAUACCGGAUAGGAGCUCCUGCUGCAUGGUGGGGGUUGGAAAGUUUCGGCGGGUGGGGAUGGACUCGCGGCUUAUCAGCUUGUUGGUUGGGUAGUGGCUUACCCAGGCAUUGACGGAUAGCCGGCCUGAGAGGGUGACCGGGCACAUUGGGACUGAGAUACGGCGCAGACGCCUAUGGGAGGCAGCAGUGGGGAAUAUUGCACAAUGGGCGGAAGCCUGAUGCAGCAACGCCGCGUGUGUGAUGACGGCCUUCGGGUUGUAAACCGCUUUCGCCUGUGACGAAGCGUGAGUGACGGUAAUGGGUAAAGAAGCACCGGCUAACUACGUG
rnacentral:rRNA from 1 species